GACGAACCGUGCGAACGUUGCUCGGAAUCACUGGGCUUAAAGGGCGCGCAGGCGGCUGCUCAAGUCAGGCGUGAAAGGCCUGGGCUCAACCCGGGAAUUGCGCUUGAGACUGGGCUGGCUUGAGUGCGGGAGAGGAUGGGUGGAAUUCCCAGUGUAGAGGUGAAAUUCGUAGAUAUUAGGAAGAACACCAGUGGCGAAGGCGGCUCACUGGCCCGGUACUGACGCUGAGGCGCGAAAGCGUGGGGAGCAAACAGG
rnacentral:rRNA from 1 species